rnacentral:rRNA from 1 species
GAUGAACGCUAGCGAUAGGCUUAACACAUGCAAGUCGAGGGGCAGCAUGGUCUUAGCUUGCUAAGACUGAUGGCGACCGGCGCACGGGUGCGUAACGCGUAUGCAACUUGCCUCACAGAGGGGGAUAACCCGUCGAAAGACGGACUAAUACCGCGUACACUCCAUCUUGGGCAUCCAAGGUAGAGGAGAUGAAAUUCGCUGUGAGAUAGGCAUGCGUCCCAUUAGCUAGUUGGUGAGGUAACGGCUCACCAAGGCGACGAUGGGUAGGGGAACUGAGAGGUUGAACCCCCACACUGGUACUGAGACACGGACCAGACUCCUACGGGAGGCAGCAGUGAGGAAUAUUGGUCAAUGGGCGAGAGCCUGAACCAGCCAAGUCGCGUGAAGGAUGACUGUCUUAGGGAUUGUAAACUUCUUUUAGACGGGAAUAACAAGAGUCACGUGUGACUCCCUGCAUGUACCGUAUGAAUAAGCAUCGGCUAACUCCGUG